rnacentral:rRNA from 1 species
CCUACGGGACGCAGCAGUGGGGAAUAUUGGGCAAUGGGCGCAAGCCUGAACCAGCAACGCCGCGUGAAGGAAGAAGGCUUUCGGGUUGUAAACUUCUUUUGUCAGGGACGAAGCAAGUGACGGUACCUGACGAAUAAGCCACGGCUAACUACGUGCCAGAAGCCGCGGUAAUACGUAGGUGGCAAGCGUUAUCCGGAUUUACGGGGGGUAAAGGGGGUGUAGGCGGGACUGCAAGUCAGAUGUGAAAACCACGGGCUCAACCUGUGGCCUGCAUUUGAAACUGUAGUUGUUGAGUACUGGAGAGGCAGACGGAAUUCCUAGUGUAGCGGUGAAAUGCGUAGAUAUUAGGAGGAACACCAGUGGCGAAGGCGGUCUGCUGGACAGCAACUGACGCUGAGGCGCGAAAGCGUGGGGAGCAAACAGGAUUAGAUACCCGGGUAGUC